CUGCGUCCCUCCCGAGGUAUUGUCCGCUCUGGGAUUGCCGCUUUGGGUCUCCGGGAGGUCGCCCAGCGUCUUUGCCCAAUGACAGUCCCGAGCCCUAACGGCGCGGGGGUCCGCGGAGGUACUACCCCUACCCUCACGGUUUUGUCCUACAAAAGGGCCCUCGGUAAGGAGAGGUUAUUGAGCCCCCCAUUUAAGGCACAGACCUUUCCGCUGAUUAGCCGAUGUGGGACUAAA
rnacentral:lncRNA from 1 species